CGAGGGGCAGCGGGGGCGUAGCAAUAUGCCUGCCGGCGACCGGCGCACGGGUGAGUAACACGUAUGUAACCUGCCCUAUGCAGGGGGAUAACCCGGAGAAAUCCGGCCUAAUACCGCGUAAUACCUUAGGGGAGCAUUCUCUUGAGGUUAAAGGAGAGAUCCGGCAUAGGAUGGACAUGCGUCGCAUUAGGUAGACGGCGGGGUAACGGCCCACCGUGCCGACGAUGCGUAGGGGUUCUGAGAGGAAGGCCCCCCACACUGGUACUGAGACACGGACCAGACUCCUACGGGAGGCAGCAGUGAGGAAUAUUGGUCAAUGGCCGAGAGGCUGAACCAGCCAAGUCGCGUGAGGGAAGAAUGUCCUAAGGAUUGUAAACCUCUUUUGUCGGGGAGCAAAAAGGCUCUGCGGAGUCGUACUGAGAGUACCCGAAGAAAAAGCAUCGGCUAACUCCGUGCCAGCAGCCGCGGUAAUACGGAGGAUGCGAGCGUUAUCCGGAUUUAUUGGGUUUAAAGGGUGCGCAGGCGGCGUGUCAAGCAAGCGGUAAAAUAGCGGGGCUCAACCC
rnacentral:rRNA from 1 species